rnacentral:tRNA from 1 species
UGGGUUGAAGUCCGGUUGGUUUGGACGACUAGCUGUUAAUUAGUUUUUUGUGGGAUCGAGGCCCAUCGACCUAG